rnacentral:lncRNA from 1 species
AAUAGAAAUGCAUACAUGUCAAAAAAAAAUUUAAAACUCGGGUAGCUUCAAAUUAUGACAGGAUGUAUCCAAUUCCUUCCACUGAAUCCUUGAUGAUUUAAAUCAUUAAAAAAAUUAUAUACAAGUAAAAUCAAUGUUAUAGGAUUUAAAUAAAAUAAUUAGAUAAGAAUAUUUUUUAGAAAAUAAUUUAAUGAGUCCAUUCUGAAUUAUUACAUUAAGCACCGAGCUUAAAAAAAUUGACUUUAUGUAAGUUAGAAAUACAUAAAAAUCUCCUUUAAGUUAGAAAAACAAGUAUACUUAAUUAAUUUUAUAUGGUUCCCAAAAUUGUGAUCAAUCGCCUAGUUAACCCUUAUAUUUUAAAGAAUUACUCAAAACAAUUUGCUGUUAUUUUUAUAGUUGUUGGAUUAAAGUUUCAAGGUUUUUCUAGCUAUUAUCAUGUAAAAGUUCAAAUAAAUGUAAUAUGCAACUAAUGAAAAAUACAGAAUAAUUAAAUAGAUUUAAAUAAAAAUAAAGAUAUAAUUUAGAUAUUUUAAAUACGUUUGAACAAUAUGUGGACUAAAAAGAUAAUUAACUCAAAACUCGAGAACUAAAGUAGGGAUUACCCACUUAAUACCAAUCAACGGUUGUUGGUUUGUGCGGAAGAAAAGGACGUGUGGAUUAAAGUAGUAAUUAUCUGUUGACUGAUUGGAAGCAAAUUAAUUGGUAAUAAAAUAAAGUAGCAGGCUUUUGGCUAAUUGAAUAUUUCUGCCGACUGCAUUGUCCAUAGCACUGGACGGAUCCAAUAUAGGAUCAGCUAGGGUUGGCCAAAUGACGUGUGGAUUAAAGUAGUAAUUAGCUGUUGACUGAUUGAAAGCAAAGCGGUUCCGAUAUUCUCACAACAAAUAGCACAAUAUUAUGCACCGAACGGUGCGUUUUUGGCAUCAUAUAAAAUGUUACUAUUGAACACAAGAACAAGGCAGACAACUCGCGCAUUCUCCCCUAAUUCCCACCAAAUUCACAGCUCACUGAACACAUGCACAUUCUCCCCCUGAUUUUCACCAAAUCCACAGCUCACUUAAGCUAAAUCCGACCAGCAAAUUCUCACUUCAUUCUCUGUAGAAUGUUAGAGAAUAAUAAGAAUAUGGAGGCAAAGAACAAAGAAAAUUUCUUAAGCAAAGAACAAAGAAAAUUUCUUCCUUUAAGGUUUUAUUUGCCCUCUCCAAUCUUGGUUUGCUAUAGAGUAUUAAUGGCAAAUUACCCCCAAGAUAUAUCAAAUCCUGAAUACAAUCUCUAGCAAAUAAGAUUGUAUUUCCAGAACAUUUAUGAAACCUGCAAAAUCUGAUGAUAAUCUAAUUGUAAAAACCUUUUUUUUGGUUUGAAUUUGCAGCGAUUAACACUUGAAAUUUUCAAGCUUGUCAACCGUUUCUAGUUGACGCCUUUCUGGAAAUAAACGGUUAACCGUUUUCUCAAUAAACGGUGAGCCGUUUUAUUCCAGAAUGUCAAAUACGUUGCUCUCUGUACAUAAACGGUUAACCGUUUUCUCAAUAACCGGUGAGCCGUUUUCUCUAGACCAUAAAACAUGCUCUCUGGGUUUAAACGGUUAGCCGUUUUCUCCAUAAACGGUGAGCCGUUUUCUCUAGACCAUAAAACAUGCUCUCUGGAGUUAAACGGUUAGCCGUUUUCUCCAUAAACGGUACGCUGUUUUACCCAGAACAGAAAACAUGCUCUCUGGACUUAAACGGUUAGCCGUUGUCUCAAUAAACGGCAAACCGUUUUCGUCCAGAAUAUCAAACCAAAAAACUUAAAAGAUGUUACAAUCUCUCUUACAAUCCCCACUAGAUUGUAAUAUUUUUUCAGAUUUAUUAAUGAUAAACUUAUACAUACAAAAAGGUAUCUUUCGAUUUUAACCUUUAAUUAGUGAGUGUAUUUCAAAGCAUUUACAAGACAAUAGUGUGCUAAGCAUUAAACUUUGUCUCUUAAGUAAAUACCGGAGAUACAUCACAUAUAAGUUAUCCCAGAUUUCAAAGUUGUGUUCCAAUAGUUAGCAUUAUUCCGGCCUUGUGCUCUAUCUUGGAUUCAUGAACAUUUACAAGAUUAAACCAGGACCUUGUUAGAAACGACACCAUUUCUUAUGUUCACUUAGGUGAAGUUUCAAAUCAUGUCUUUAGCUACUAUAAGACUUGAACUUCAUUAAGAAUAAAUACUCAACCUCAACCUCGUAGUUAUUUGCACCGAAUAUCUCGAAUAGGAUUAUUUAUUACUCGGUGCCAAUCUAGUCACAUAACAACAACUUGUUAUUACCCAUUUAACUAUGGAGUAGCGGUAUAACUACUACAUAGUUGGGUUACCGUCGUUGGUGACUUUAUUGUGUAAAGAUUUCAAUCUCAUUCCAAAAGAUGUAUCCUUAACUAAGUCUCUUAAAAGACCUUUUGUUAAAGGAUCUGCUAGGUUCUUAUUAGUCCUAACAUAAACAAUAUUAAUAACACCAUUUGCUAUUAAUUGUUUCACAUAUUCAUGUCUCAAGCUAAUAUGUCUAGACUUUCCAUUAUAUACUUUAUUAUAAGCUCUAGACAAUGUAGCUUCACUGUCGCAGUACAAAGAAAUAGAUGGCAUCGGCUGUGGCCACAACAUUAUAUUAAACAAUAAAUUUCUCAGCCAUUCUGCUUCUUUGCCUGCAGCCGCAAGUGCUAUAAACUCACUUUCCAUUGUUGAAUGAGUUAUGCACGUUUGUUUCUUUGAAGCCCAAGAAACCGCUCCUCCAGCAAUUGUAAAAAUCCAACCAGAAGUGGAUUUAUUAUCUUUUGUAUUGGUUACCCAACUAGCAUAUGAAUAUCCUUUCAAUACUUCAGGAUAAUCAUUAUAAAACAAACCCAAAUUAAUGGUCCUUUUAAGAUAACCAAGUAUCCUACCAAUUGCUUUCUAGUGUUCAACACUAGGGUUACUCGUGAAUCUUGACAUUUUGCAAACUGCAAAUGCUAUAUCAGGCCUCGUACAAUGCAUAGCAUACAUCAAGCUACCAAUAGCACUAGCAUAUUCUAGUUGUGCUACUACUCGGCCUGAAUUUUCUAGUAAUUUAAUACUAGAAUCAUAUGGGGUAUUAGCUUCUUUAAAUUUCAAAUAAUUGAAUUUAAGAAGCACUUUCUCUAUAUAAUGAGAUUGACACAACGAGUAACCCCCACUAUGUUUAUUCACUUUGACACCUAAGAUAGUAUCUACUUCACCAAGAUCUUUCAUCUUAAAUUGUGAAGUUAAAUACUUCUUUGUAUCAUCUACUCCUUGCAUAUUUAUUCCAAAGAUAAGCAAGUCAUCAACAUACAAGCAUAUAAUCACACCAAAGUCAUUCGUAAAUUUAAAAUAUAUACAUUUAUCAGCAUUAUUAUGCUUAAAACCAUGUGAUAAAAUUACCGAAUCAAACUUCUCAUGCCAUUGUUUUGGUGCUUGCUUUAAGCCAUAAAGAGAUUUGACUAACUUGCAUACAUUUUUCUCAUUUCCAGGCAAAAUAAAUCCCUCAGGUUGUUUCAUAUAGAUUUCUUCAUCAAGAUCACCAUUAAGAAAAGCUGUUUUAACAUCCAUUUGAUACACAUACAAAUUGUUCAAUGAAGCAAUUGCAAAUAGCACUCUUAUAGAAGUUAACCUAGCUACCGGAGCAUAUGUAUCGAAAUAAUCAAUACCAUUUCUUUGCUUAAACCCUUUGGCUACUAAUCUAGCUUUAAAAGUUUGCAAAAAACCAUCACUAUUGUACUUUCUUCUAAAUACCCAUUUGCUGCUAAUUGGUUUAGAUCCUGGAGGAAGAUCAACCAAGACCCAUGUUUGAUUCGACAUAAUUGAAUCCAUUUCAUCAUUUACCGCCUCUUUCCAAAAAGAAGCGUCUCUAGAAGACAUAGCCUCGCUAAAUGUCUUUGGAUCUUUUUCAAUAUUUAACAACAAUGGUACUUUGUUAAGUACAUUCUUUCUAUCCCCUUCAACCAAGAAGAGUAAUGCUUGUGAUGAAAUAAAAUCCGGAGCUAAACUCUUUUCUUUCUUUUCACGUUGACUCCUCCUUGGUUCGAAAGAUGUCAUAGACUCUUUCCUUUUAUUAUUAUUAGUGGAGGUACUAGGAGUAUUAACACAUGGUUGAUCAAUACUUGAUUCUAAUUCAAUAUUAUAAUCAUGUUGAAAUUUAUUCUCUAUAAAUUCAACAUCUCUAGAUUCUACAAUUACAUUAGAAUCUAAAUCUAACAACCUAUAAGUCUUGGAAUUUUCAGCAUAUCCUACGAAAACACUUUUUAUACCUCUAGCACUCAACUUUGAUGACUUAGGGUCAUGUAUUUUAUAAAAAGCUAAACAACCCCAGACUCUUAAAUACAUCAAGUUUGGUUUUCUUCCUUUCCAAAUUUCAUAAGGAGAUAUAUGUGUUUUCAAAGAUGUAAUUCUGUUAUGAAUAUGACAUGCAGUGAGUAAUGCUUCCUCCCACAAAUUAUUAGGUAGUUAUGCAUUAAGGAUCAUAGAAUUUAUCAUAUCUGUGAAAAUCCUAUUCUUCCUUUCAGCCAAACCAUUUUGUUGAUGAGUAAAUGGAGCUAUUCUUUGGUGAAUAAUUCCAAAUUCUUCACAAUAAUUAUUAAAUUCAAUUGAGAAAUAUUCACCACUUCUAUCACUACGAACCAUUUUGAUUUUCUUAUCUUUUUGGUUCUCAACUUCAGCUUUGAAAAUUUUAAAUUUAUCAAAAGCUUCAUUUUUUGUUCUAAGUAAAUACACAUAAGUGUAUCUAGAACAAUCAUCAAUAAACGUGAUAAAGUACCUCUUACCUCCUCUUGUUAACAUGCCAUUAUACUCACAAAUAUCGAUAUGUAUUAAAUCCAAUAUUUGAGUAUUUCGUUCAGCUUUAGGAAAAGGUUUCUUAGUUAAUUUAGCUUGGAUGCAGAUUUCACACUUAUGACCUUUAACAUCAUUGCAAUUAAUCAAACCAUGCUUAGACAUGUAUUUCAAAGAUCUAAAGUUCAAAUGUGCUAAUCUAGCAUGCCAAACAUCACAAGACUUAACAAUAUAAGCUAAGUUGAUAUUAUUAUUAUUAUUAAUGCUGAGUUUGUACAUUCCAUCACAAGAAUACCCUUUCCCAACAAAUAAUCCAUUCUUUGAGAUAAUACAAGUAUUACUCUCAAGCACAAUCUUAAGCCCCAUGCUUACACAUACAACUAGCAGAAAUAAGAUUCUUCCUAACGGAAGGUACAUGAAAGACAUUAUACAAUGUGACUUUCUUUCUAGAAGUGAAGUUGAUCUCAACAACUCCUUUCCUUGCUACUAUGGCUGCAUUAUUAUUCCCCAUGAGAACCAUUUGUCCUUCUGUUUCUACUUUGUAUGAUAAGAAAAUUUUUUUAUCAUUACAAACAUGAAUUGUUGCACCCGAAUCGAGCCACCAAUCAUAGGACUUAGUUUCAACCAUAUUGGUUUCGGUAAUCAUGCCAAUUUGCAUUUCAGAAACCAUAGCACAAAUCUCUUCAGAUUUGUUUUCAAUGACAUUAGCUUUAUGGGAAUUUACUUCUUCCUUUUUCUUCUUGAAUCUGCAAUCACUUUGGCGAUGGCCUUUCUUACCACAAAAGAAACAAUUUCCAGAAAACUUUUGUGUGCUGGAUUUUUUGAAUUUCUUGUCAUUCUUGACCUUAAAAUUCUUUGAGAAUUUACUAGCUUCAACAACAUUAACUUUAGUAGAAUCAUACUUAUUCUUGGAUUCGCGAGACCUAGUCUCUUCUUCAAUUACCAAGUGUUUUUGCAAUUCUUCUAAAGUUGUGUUCUCUUUACUAUGAAGAAGUUUCUUUCUAUAAUCAUUCCAACUUUGAGGCAAUUUAGCAAUAAUAGCCCCAACCUGAAAUGAUUCAGAAAUUUCAACUUUUAACUCUCGAAGCUUAGCAACAAUAAUUUGUAACUCAUGUAUUUGAUCAAGAAUGGAUUUUGUGUCAACCAUAAUAAAUUCAAAAUAUUUAGAUAUAAGAAAUUUGUCAGUACCUUCUUUCUCUGUUUUGUAUUUGUAUUCAAGAGCAUUCCAAAUUUCCACCGGAGAAGUCAUAGAAUUGUAGAGAUCAUACAAUCUGUCAGAAAGCGUAUUGAGUAUGUGACCCCUGCACAUUAAUUCAUCAUCUUCACGACGUUUCCUUGCAGCCUUAACAACUUUGAUAUCAUCUUCUCUUGGUUCUGGAAAUGGCUCCAAUUUCGGAUCAAGAACAUAUGCCACUUUAAGAACAGUAAGAAGAAAGAACAAUUUUUCCUUCCAACGAGUGAAAUUAGUUCCAUUAAAACGAACACUAGGAUUAAGAAAUGACGUUAAACUCUUCUCAGCCUCCAUUUAGAACAACAAUAAAACCUUAAAGAUUGUAGAAUGUUAGAGAAUAAUAAGAAUAUGGAGGCAAAGAACAAAGAAAAUUUCUUCCUUUAAGGUUUUAUUUGCCCUCUCCAAUCUUGGUUUGCUAUAGAGUAUUAAUGGCAAAUUACCCCCAAGAUAUAUCAAAUCCUGAAUACAAUCUCUAGCAAAUAAGAUUGUAUUUCCAGAACAUUUAUGAAACCUGCAAAAUCUGAUGAUAAUCUAAUUGUAUAUGUUUCCUUUAUGAAGAAGAUGUUAAUUCAAAAGAAUGCAACCAUUCGAAAUGGUACUUCUUCAAAAAACCUUUUUUUUGGUUUGAAUUUGCAGCGAUUAACACUUGAAAUUUUCAAGCUUGUCAACCGUUUCUAGUUGACGCCUUUCUGGAAAUAAACGGUUAACCGUUUUCUCAAUAAACGGUGAGCCGUUUUAUUCCAGAAUGUCAAAUACGUUGCUCUCUGUACAUAAACGGUUAACCGUUUUCUCAAUAACCGGUGAGUCGUUUUCUCUAGACCAUAAAACAUGCUCUCUGGGUUUAAACGGUUAGCCGUUUUCUCCAUAAACGGUGAGCCGUUUUCUCUAGACCAUAAAACAUGCUCUCUGGAGUUAAACGGUUAGCCGUUUUCUCCAUAAACGGUACGAUGUUUUACCCAGAACAGAAAACAUGCUCUCUGAACUUAAACGGUUAGCCGUUUUCUCAAUAAACGGCAAACCGUUUUCGUCCAGAAUAUCAAACCAAAAAACUUGAAAGAUGUUACAAUCUCUCUUACAUUCUCUCGGCUGGGCUUCACUCUCUUGGCUUCAUUUCACUCGUUGUCAUCUGCCGUAAUCAAUUUGCUGAGUUAAUUUGCUUCAUUUAUUCGAAUUUUGGUUGUGGUGGUUAUGAAUUUGUGAAGAUUUAGCUUGCAUUUUGUUAAUUUUUGUUAACAAUAUAUAAGUGCAAAUUAAAGUACCCUUUUAUAUAUAUACAGUUCAUGAAUUGCUGAUUUUGAGAUGAUUAUACAAGAAAAUAUGAGUUGCAACAGGCUUUAUGAGUUAGAUUAUUUUGCUGUGAAUUUGUUUAGCUUUAUGACUUAGAUUCAGCUAGCAUUGAGGCAACAUUACAACCUCUCUGGAUGCAAACGGUUAGCCGUUAGUGUGUAAACGGCUAGCCAAUAUCGAGUGAAAUUGGGGUCUAGGUUCUGGACGAAAACGGCUAACCUCCGCAAAGGAUUACAGCAGCCGAGAGAGUGAGACAACUAUGAAGAGAUAAAGAGAGAAAGACAUAGCCAAAUCGACGGUGAAAAGGGAGCAACAUGAGAGGGCUAAGCGUGAAACUUGUGUGAGGAAAGGAGCAAGGUCAAAUGUGUGCGUGAGACUUGUGUGAGGAACUGAUUUUGAGUUGAAUUUAUAUUCAACUCAAAAUGCACCGUUCGGUGCUAUAAGUUGUGAUUAAUGUUGUGUGAGCAUCAUUUUCCGAAAGCAAAUUAAUUGGUAAUAAAAUAAAGUUGCAGGCUUUUGGCUGAUUGAAUAUUUGUGCCGGAUUUUUUCAAGUUCAGGUCCAAGCCUAUAUUAUUGAUAAUAAGUUAGACUUUUCAAAAGUUCAUCCAAAUUUAGAUAGGCCAAGCUUGGACUGUGCUUGAACCAAAGCCUAAAUUUUUUCAAUAAAUAUAAAAUAAUUUUUAAUGAAGUAAAAAAUAUUUAAUUAUAGAGUCUAACGUAUAUUAAAAUUUUGAAUUCUAAUGUUUCAAUUAGUAUACCAGCUAUCCAUUUGUAAUAAGAUUAAAAUACCAACUCAUUCAGUAAAUAUUUCUUUUAUUGUUACUCGAAAUUGGUUGCGCCCGUGAGCUGCUCAGAAACUUAAACUAGUAGAAAAUAUCGGUCGCUACGGAUUGCGUUAAACUUAUUCCGUAAGACCGUGAACGUUUGUAUAUGAAAAAUGUUAAUAAGACAGAGCACUGAAAUAAACAGUGAAAAAUCCGAAUUGGUUAACACUAGCUCAUGUAUCACUGAUGCAUAUAAUUGCUCAUUGUAUAUUAGAGAAUUAUUAUCCUGUGAUGAACAUCUAUGUUGAGACCAAAAGAGGGGGGGAAAAUCAGCAUGUAAUUAAAUAAAUAAAGUGACUAGGAUAUAAGAAAUGUAGAAAUUAUACACUUAAUUUUGAUUUAAAUUUUAAAAUAUAUACUGUUC